ACUCCUACGGGAGGCAGCAGUAGGGAAUCUUCCACAAUGGACGAAAGUCUGAUGGAGCAACGCCGCGUGAGUGAAGAAGGGUUUCGGCUCGUAAAAACUCUGUUGUUAAAGAAGAACAUAUCUGAGAGUAACUGUUCAGGUAUUGACGGUAUUUAACCAGAAAGCCACGGCUAACUACGUGCCAGCAGCCGCGGUAAUACGUAGGUGGCAAGCGUUGUCCGGAUUUAUUGGGCGUAAAGCGAGCGCAGGCGGUUUUUAAGUCUGAUGUGAAAGCCUUCGGCUCAACCGAAGAAGUGCAUCGGAAACUGGGAAACUUGAGUGCAGAAGAGGACAGUGGAACUCCAUGUGUAGCGGUGAAAUGCGUAGAUAUAUGGAAGAACACCAGUGGCGAAGGCGGCUGUCUGGUCUGUAACUGACGCUGAGGCUCGAAAGUAUGGGUAGCAAACAGGAUUAGAUACCCUGGUAGGAUAGCG
rnacentral:rRNA from 1 species